AGCCGAGUAAGGCAUGUCACACUUGGUGCCGGAGCUCUUUAACUUAUCUUAUAACAUUUCCUAAUAAUCACAUUUUGUUUUAUUAAUUUAAGUUCCAUUAGUCAAUCAGAGAAACCGACGGAGUUUCCACUAAUUUAUUAACAAUUUGACAAUUUUCCACCUAUUUAAAAUCUCAAUAAUAGUUUCAAACAAAUAAAUUCUUCAAAAUCUUAAACUUCAUUUCAACAUCUCAAACUCCAACAUUUCAUUCAUUUCAUGCAUAAAUACAAGCAUGCUCAAUUUCAUAAGCAAAAUACUCAAAUUUCAUUAAUUUA
rnacentral:misc_RNA from 1 species